rnacentral:rRNA from 1 species
CGCACAAGCGGGGGAGCAUGUGGUUUAAUUGGAUGCAACGGGAAGAACCUUACCUGGCUUUGACAUCUGGGGAACCUGGGAGAGAUUUCGGGGUCCUUUCGGGAACCGCAAGACAGGUGCCGCAUGGCUGUUGUCAGCUCGUGUCGUGAGAUGGUUAUUAAUCCCGCAACGAGCGACCCCCCGUCCUUUUUGCCAGCAAAAGUCGGGCAUUUUGGGGGGACUGCCGGGACAAAUCGGAGGAAGGUGGGGAUGACGUCAAGUCCUCAUGGCCCUUAUGUCCAGGGGUACACACGUGUUACAAUGGCCGGUACAAAGGGUUGCCAACC